rnacentral:misc_RNA from 1 species
UACGGAGGAGGCAAGCGUUAUCCGGAUUUAUUGGGCGUAAAGCGUCCGCAGGUGGCAAUUCAAGUCUGCUGUCAAAGCGCGAAGCUCAACUUCGUUUAGGCAGUGGAAACUGAAUUACUAGAGGGUGAUAGGGGCAGAGGGAAUUCCCAGUGUAGCGGUGAAAUGCGUAGAGAUUGGGAAGAACACCGGUGGCGAAAGCGCUCUGCUGGGUCACACCUGACACUGAGGGACGAAAGCUAGGGGAGCGAAAGGG